rnacentral:lncRNA from 1 species
CCCCAACCCAGUAUGUGCAGAUGGGAUGGUGGGAUCUAGGUAGACCCAUGAUGAGAACAGAGGGGACAACAUGGAGUCUUGUUGGAAAGGCAGACUUUGUGAUAGCUCUUGCUUGAUUUUAUAUCUUGGUGGACCAUCAGAUUCUGAUUUUAAUGCAAAUACAUUCCAUUCCUUUAAAUAUAUACACUCUCUUCCAUAUGUAUUAUAAAUAAAAAAGAACUUAUUUAGAAUAGCUCUGGGCUCACUCAUGUUUUUGUAUAUUACUGUAUCCUUUUGGAGCUGUUCUCCAAACUCUAGAGGCACCAUUCAGACAGAAGAAAUCAAUUUCAGACACGAUGGGAUAACAGUUUUCAACUCACUGGGCUGCAAGUUUGCAGGUCUCUGGAAAAAUUGUAGAGAAAUUAUCAGUCCUUCACCUGACUUUAAAGGACCCUUCAGUUUGUAGAAGGGGCUCAGAAAAAGAGCUGAUGCAGGUCUUGGCACUGUGCCAGUCAUAGAUGAAGUGACUCAAAUGUGAUGGGACCACCUUAUAGAGAGCCACACCAGGGUGCCAUAGCACACUGAUUGAGAACCAUGCCGCUGCUUCUGCUGGGAUGCCCUCCAAAUUAUUGGGUGCAGACAUCAGAAUUGUGCCUGUAUCCUCCUGGUGGUAUGUGCUCCUCAGAGGCCUGAUCUACAUAUGUUCACCUCCUAGGUA